rnacentral:rRNA from 1 species
AUUGAACGUUGGCGGAAUGCUUUACACAUGCAAGUCGAACGGUAGAGGGGGCAACCCCUCGAGAGUGGCGAACGGGUGAGUAAUAUAUCGGAACGUGCCCAGUCGUGGGGGAUAACGUAGCGAAAGUUACGCUAAUACCGCAUACGAUCUAAGGAUGAAAGCGGGGGAUCGCAAGACCUCGCGCGAUUGGAGCGGCCGAUAUCAGAUUAGGUAGUUGGUGGGGUAAAGGCUCACCAAGCCAACGAUCUGUAGCUGGUCUGAGAGGACGACCAGCCACACUGGAACUGAGACCCGGUCCAGACUCCUACGGGAGGCAGCAGUGGGGAAUUUUGGACAAUGGACGCAAGUCUGAUCCAGCCAUUCCGCGUGCAGGAUGAAGGCCCUCGGGUUGUAAACUGCUUUUGUACGGAACGAAAAGGUCUCUCUUAAUACGGGGGACUCAUGACGGUACCGUAAGAAUAAGCACCGGCUAACUACGUGCCAGCAGCCGCGGUAA